rnacentral:rRNA from 1 species
UACGGAGGAUGCGAGCGUUAUCCGGAUUUAUUGGGUUUAAAGGGUGCGCAGGCGGAUUUUUAAGUCAGCUGUGAAAGUCCGCGGCUCAACCGUGGAAUUGCAGUUGAAACUGGAGGCCUUGAGUGCACACAGGGGUGCCGGAAUUCAUGGUGUAGCGGUGAAAUGCUUAGAUAUCAUGAAGAACUCCGAUUGCGAAGGCAGCAUACCGGUGCACAACUGACGCUCAGGCACGAAAGCGUGGGUAUCGAACAGG